rnacentral:misc_RNA from 1 species
AAAGUCGUAACAAGGUUUCCGUAGGUGAACCUGCGGAAGGAUCAUUACAAAUCAGUGUUGGCUGCAUGGGGGGAGUUGUUGUGUUGGGUGAGUUGGUGGUGGUUGUGUGGGAGUGUUGCAAGCGCUAAGGUGUCUUGCAAUGUACUCACGCCUCCGCUGCUCUCAUCAUCCCGCAUACCCGACCCCCGAGCAGCUGCUCACAUUUGCGCUUGUUGUGUUUGACAGAGUAAACUAUUUAUGAAAUGAGACAACUUUUAACAAUGGAUCUCUUGGCUCUU